GAGUUGUCGAUCAUCGUAACCCAGACCUUGUUUCAUCUUCAAGAGAGCUGAGCACUUCUCGUUAUUACUCACAUCAAACAGAAGUUGAAGAUUUAUUCGAAAAUAAUCGCCAAUAUGAAGAUGGAGUAAUCGAAAAAACGGUUAAAAAAUUGUCUAUGCAGAUUACGAGCGCACCUUUUGAACACAGCGAAAAUUUGCUAGACAACGAUCAGAAUGCUUUAACAUUCAGCGAAAAAGAAUCUGCGAUGGCUGAAUACGAUGCAGCACUCAGAGUCAAUUGGAUCGCCGAGGAAAAAUAGAGAAAACGGGCAAAUGGACUGAAGUUGUUCGUUUGAAAAAUGAUCGCACGGUAGUGACAGCUUCUGGUAAUGUGCUUCAUAUGACAAGUGGACAAAAUGUGAUGAAGUUGAAAAAAAAAUGAGAAAACGUUCAUCCAACUCACAAAUGGCGAGAUACACUCUGUGCGUGAUUUUGAUGUCAUUGACGCUGCAGCUGAACUUGAUCGAACUGCUGUCGACUCUAACCGUGACGUUCUGUACGCACCGUGUGGUCGUGACGCCGAACUUGAUCGCACUGCAGUCGACGCCAAUCGGGUGCCAUAUACACCGUGUCGUGACGCUCUAUGAACAUGUCCUUUUGAAGUUUAUUUUUUGUUUUUAAUUUAAGAAAUAAUCCCAUUGGAUGGGAUGCAAAUAUAAGAUCAUUCGAAGCCUUGGAGAACUUCUAAGAUUUUAAUUUUCAUACAAAGAAGCUGACCGUAACUUUGGACGACUUUGUCCAAAGUUUUCAACUUGUUUUCAUGAGAAGUAGCUGACCCUAACUUUGGACGACUUUGUCCAAAGUUUUUAAUUUAUUUUCAUAAGAAGAAGCUGACCGUAACUUUGGA